UUGGUGGUUUUGUUAUGCCCAAAGAAGCCAUUUUGCAUCACUAGUUUGUCCAUAUAAUUUUCCAUACAAAUUUAGCAGCUGUCCAUACAAAAAUGAUGUGUCCAUACAAAAAAAAAAAACUGUAUCUUUUGAAGCAAUUUUUUGGUCGAUUUGGUGUCUUGGACAAAGUUGUAGGUAUGGACAAGGACUACACUGAAAAAAUGAUGCACGGUAAAUUUUUUUAAAAGAUUUUUAAUUUCUUUUUUGUCCCUAAAACUUGAUUUGCAAAAAAACCCUAUUUUUAUUUUAUUUUUUUUUUUAUUUGUUUUAGAGGACAUCAAAUGCCAACUUUUCAGAAAUUUCCAGAACGGGCAAAAAAUCUUUAACCAAGUUAUGAGUUUUUAAAUCAAUGCUCAUUUUUUCAAAUAAUCGAAAUAUUGAUCGCACAAAUUUUUCAACUUCAUUUUUACAUGUAAAAUCGAAUUUGCAAUUAAAACGUACUUCAGUAAAAAUUUGAUAAAGUGCACCGUUUUGAAGUUAAAGUCAUUUCAAAUAAGUUUUUUUUUUCAAAUAGUCGAAGUUAUUCAUUUUUUAAAAUUAGUGUCCAUGUUUGCCCACCUCUGAAGAAAAUAUUUUUGAAAAGCUGACAAAAUUCUCUAUGUUUUACUUUUGUAAACUUAGUUGAUACGACCCUUAGUUGCUGAAAUAUUGCCAUGCAAAGGUUUAAAAACAGGAAAAUUGAUGUUUUCUAAUUAUCACCCAAACAACCCACAUGUUAGUAUUAAUUUAAAUUUUUUGAAAAUAGUAUUUUCGAAAUGAUCGGAAAAUUUCACGAAAGUUCAUAUUUUUAUAUUGAAAAUAGGACCAUUAGUUGCUGAGAUAUCGACAUUAGAAAAUGAUGGGUUGUUUGGGUGAGACUAAGAAAACAUCAAUUUUCUUGUUUCAAACCUUUGCAUGGCAAUAUCUCAGCAACUAAAGGUCGUAUCAACAAAGUUGAAAUAAGCAAAAUAUAGAGAAUUAUCUCAGCUUUUCAAUUUUUUCAAAGGGGGGCAAACAUGGGCACUAAUUUUAAAAAAUGAAUAACUUCUAAUCUAAUCUAAUCUAAUCAGACCCUAGCGCAGCCAAUCUUUCGAAGGGAUCCUGGAGAGUGCCUUAGGUUAGAUGACGCCUAGCACUCUUCUUGUCAUUCAUUAACAUUUGUAGUGCGCCAUUGCACCGGAAUGCAUUGAAACAUCACAAGCGUUAAAGCGGCCAGGCCUACUGCGUAAAGCCGUAUCGCAGAGAUGACUCGUAAUUGGGUUGAGUUUGAGCACUGAGUGUUCGAACAACAACACAAUUCUGAAUCGACAGGGGAGGAAGAAGCGUGGGGACACACCACCAUACGCUCCGAGAUUUUUGGUUGUAUUCGUUGGGAGCACCAUGCUAAGAAGGUUUGGUACUCCGGGACCCUCUGGGAUGGGACAUUGUAUUUCCACGAAUGCCCUGGACACUAUUUGCCGUGGUUAUAGCGCCACAACUCGCUCUUUUAAAAAAUGAAUAACUUCGACUAUUUUCAAAAAAGUUACCUAAAAUGUCUGUAACUUGAAAACGGUGCACUUUAUCAAAAUUUCGCUGAAGUACUUUUUGAUUGCAAAUUUAUUUUAAAUCGAAAAGUUAUAACUCGUUCAAAGAUUUUUUGCCCAUUCUUGAAAUUUCUGAAAAGUUGGCCUUUGAUGUCCCCUUAAACAUAUCAUAAAACAAAAAAUAAAAUAAAAAUAAUGUUUUUUUUUGCAAAUAAAUUUUUAGGUCCCCCUCCCCCCUUCAAAAUCGCUCCAAAAAAUCAGGGGACAAAAAUUUUUUUUUCAAAAAACUUCCAAAUUUUAAGGGAAUCAGGUAUCUAAUCAACUGGAAACAAUUUUAAACGCAUUUUUCCGCGUUUCAAAUCAUAUUUAGCAUGAUGAUUUUUUUUUUCAAUUUUUGUGUAAUUCCAAUGUACAGCACCGCAAAAAGUUUUUUUUUCGGCGAAAAAAAAAAAUAUUUUCGAUACUCUGAUAUUUUGAAAACUAAUGAUUGCAAAUCAACUGGGCAGGUGUAAAAUGCAUUUUAAAACAAUUUUUUCAUUCAAAUGUUAAUACCAUGGCUUGUUAUUUAAAUUUUUAUAUAUUUUUUAUUUUGUUGUCCCCCCCCCCCCUCGACUGUGGCCAGAGUCGAGGGACAUAAACUUCAAAAAAUAUUUGCAAUGGCCUAAGUGACAAAAAAUAAAAAAUCACCAAUUUUUUUUAUUACCGUGUAUCAUUUUUUUUUCAGUGUAGUCCUUAUCCAUACCUACAACCACGGGAUUGGAACUCGUCUGAAAAACCUGUAUCAUUUUCUCAUUCGAAACAGUGGCACCACGUGGUGGUAGCUGCCCUGUUUAUUACACUGCGAAAUUAUCCAUGGCUAAUCCAAGGAACCAGGAGGUGUCAACAAAAAUGUCCGUCCAAAAGCAGUGCUGCAAAAAAAAAAAAAUAUUUUUAACAAAUUUUCGAACAAAUCAGCAACGAAUUACAAGUUUGACAGUCGAACUACACUUAAAAGUUGGUUUUGUUAUUUGUUUUUGCAAAACCGAACAUUUUGUAACAAAAUUGCCAAAAAUAUUCGUAAUCACCUUUUGCCUCUUGGUGGCGCUUUGUGUUAGUAUGUGCGUGGUCGAUGUUUGCGGGCGUGCACGCAGAACACAGAACAGUGAGAACUAGCGAAAAUGCCUCACUUUCUUCUGAUACAAGUCGCCAUAUUGAAAUUGCUUGAAGAUUCAUACCCGUGCUACAACUUAGCCGAAGACACCAAAUCGAUCAAAAAAUCAUUUUUGAAUUUUCAUGCAAAAAUUUUGUAUGGACGCUGGAAAACUAUAUGGACAAACUAAUGAUGCAAAAUGGCCUCUUUGGGCUAACCAAAGAAAUCAAAAAAGUGUCAGCCGGAUUAAAAAUAAAAAAGAAGACCAAUUGGGUAGGUCGGUGCUCAGUGCUCAGAAUUUAACUUUUCUCUUAACUGAAUCCUGAACCGCCCUAAUUGCUAAACAUUAACAACUAUUUUGAAAAAUUUUGCUUAGUUCUUAAUUUAAACAUUUUUUUUUUGCUUAUAGAACAAAAACACAAAUUUCCGCCAUUUGAAAUGUUACGGGUAGUUAAAAAAAUAUUGUACAGAUAAAAUUCACAAAACAUGUAAAAAACUAAAUUCGUUGCAAGUAUUUUACAAAGUUAUAACCACCCUAAUUUUCAACCAAGCCAGAAAUUUCCUCUACGCAUUUUCAACAACUCUUCUAAAGACCAAGCUCCAAAACUUCACCAUUUUACGAAAAAUCGAAUCUUUUGAGUUAUUCGAAAUCUGACUUAAGGGGUUACAUACAUGUAAAUCGUCAAAAAUGUCAAUGGUUGGUAUUGGCACACACUCAAACUUUUUUAAAUUUGUUUUCAGGGCAUUAACAUACACAUUUUUAACAAUUAUCAACAUAAAUUUGAAGACAUUUCGUUGCAUCAUUGCCUAGAUAUAGCUAUUUUAAGUUAGAAGUUUCAAAAAACGGGUGCCACGAUAUCUCAACACUGCUUCGACCAAAUGGGCUCAAAUUUUUUGUGAAGACUCAUUAAACCGGUCCUGUGUGCAUGACGAAGGCCGAUUUAAAAAAAGUUUAUUUAAAAAAAAGAUAAAAAUAUUUUUGUGUUUUUCAUAUAAAAAAUCGUCAGUUUUUGAUUUUUGUAUUUUUUUAAAAAGCAAAAUUUCAAAAUCGGGCUUCGUCAUGCACACGGAAUAUAUGUUGAGAGUCUUCACCCCAAAUUUCAGCCAAUUUUUUCCAUCCAAUCUCGAGAUAUCGUGGCACCCGUAAAUAAACUCGGUGUUUCGAGAAAAAAGCUCACAAAGUUUGACAGUCCGCUUUGCGCAUGGCAGAACUUUAAACUUAAAUCGUCUUCUACUCACUUAAAUCAUGACAUAUCUUCAUGAAACUUUCAGGAGUGAUUAAAAUUCAUCUUGUUAAAGGAUUUAAUAAAUAUUCGGAAAUAUGAAAAAAUAGAUAUUCUACAUGUAUGUAACCCCUUAACACGAAAACUAUGUGUUUUGGUGCAAAUAUGAAAAAUAAACAUGAAAACAUAAAAAUAACAUAAACAAAAACUUCUAGAAUGCGUAUUCAAUUUAUAAAAAAAAAGACAAUUGUUUUAAAAACUCUGUACUGCUACAAUGAUGUAACAACAACACACCAUGACUAGAUUCCAAUCGCAUGGCUGGCCAACCGGAAGUGAAUCAAUUCGAAACUUAAUUUGACCGUUUGCAGAUGGAAAUGCUUCGGGGACGAAAAUUGGAAAUGGGCAACCGUGCCGAGAACAAAACAGAGUGCGAAAAUUGAUUUAUUCCGUUCGUCUCCGGAUUGGUAAAGUCUGUUACGAGUGUGAUUGGAUCUUGGAAAGUUUAAGGAAGAUGUGCAGUGUGAUAUGGAGUUACAAAAAAUAUUUGUUCGAGCAUUCCUCAAUAUAAUGGAGUCGCACGGUAAUUGGUUGAUUUAAUGCCUUUGCGUGAUUCAGCUGGCAAUAAUUUGUCGAUUCUACCCAUAGAAUUGCUCGGUCAACCCCCAGGUGUUUUGCAUAAACUCAUAGUCAGCGUUAUAUUGGUCAAGGGGGGAGGGUGGCAAUGACUAUUUUUACCCCAUUAUUGCCAUCAUCACUCUUGACCACGCAAUGCCACGUUGAAACGGUGCAAUGUCCACCUAUUUUAUGGCCCCCAUUAAACGGGGGUUCUGAUUUUUGGCUUGGAAUCCGCGAGGAGCGUUUGCGGUUUUGUUGAAAACGGUUGAAUAGUGGAAGAGUUAUGGGUUAGUUAAAACCAUUGUUGAAAAUUUCAUGAAGUGUAAUUAAUGAAGAAGAUUGAACGUGUGGGAUAAGCAUCCAGAGAACUAAUUUGAUGGAAAUUUUUGGUUUUUCAGAAUUACUGAAACCGUUAAUCAUGGAGACUCACUCACUACCAAACUUUUUUACUUACUCAGGUACAGGUAUAGGUUUACUCCGUUACAAGGUAUUUCAGCAUCUUUCCACUGAUUAAUAAUCAAUUAUGGAGGCGAUAACCAUGAUUAAUACUCAAUUUUCCUCUUUAACACGACCUCUGCGAACGCAGGAUAUCGCUAACAUCGCAUCUUCCUCCCGCUUCUUGGAAAAGCCCCAGGCCCCGUAUUGGUGAGGCUUGAUGUAGUUUUAGCAAUCAAGCAAUUUCUCAAACAAUUAGUCUUCGUCAGCCCCGGUAAUGAACCAUCUGUGCGCGGCGCUCGUCUUCCAAUCUGAAGUUCUUAUCCUUGCCAGAUAGCAAGAGCAAGGUCGUCUUCCGGUAGGGGUUGAGGGAAGGGAGAAAAUUUAUUCACUCGAUGAAUUAGAAGCGCCCUCUAUCGAUCCACUAACACUCCUCUUCCGAGUAGGUACUUACUAGAGAAGGAGGUAUUGCCUCUCUAUCGUUCAUAAACAACAUACGGAAACCGGAAGAACGCCCUUAAUUUAUAAUGCUCACUCUCCAAGUGGGUACUUUCCACGAUCCUUGCGUGUAACUUUCAAGGGUAAUUCCGUGGCGUUCAGGCAUGUGCAACGCUCGAGAAACUUACAACUUCUUCAACCAACUAUUGAUGAAAAAGAAUCCUAAAACCUACGUAAUUGGUGUACCAAGUCAGUGAUCACGGAAAGCAAUUAAAAGUUUUUCUUGCAACAACCGUGUUCCUGCAAGCUUGAGCAUGGUAAAUCUUUAUUCUGGCCGUUAAUUUUCCGUUGGCUGGACGUGGUCGUUCUCCCCAUUGCCCUUGGGGAUUUCGCCUCAAACUUUGCGCAAAGCUUGAUUGGGCUUUGUGUUGAUGAAGAUUCGUUAAGUCUCUGGCCCCGAGGAACCCGCCUGACCUUUUGAGCAAAGCACCUGGCGAGAUAAUGAGGUGCAUACUGCAUUGUAUUUAAGAAUAAUCAUUUAUCAUUUAUAGAUAUUUUCAAUUUCCAUUUGAAAAAAGGAAAUUGCUAAAUAUUGACAACCAUUUCAAAAAAGUUUAGCUUAGUUCUUAAUUUGAAGAAAUGAUUUUAUGCUUAAUGGUCGAAAACACUGAUUUCCGCCAUUUUACAUGUUACGGUUAACGUGAAAACUUCCAUCAUUGUCAUGAUUUUUUGUUCAAAGAUAUAAAUUUUGCGUCGCUUUCAAUAUUUUGACAAAAUUCCUUCAACAAGUUGUUUAGAAUAGUGCCCUACACAUGCUGAUUCCUUUUGGUAACGAUUACUCCAUUCCUUGUAAAGUUAUGGAAAUCGUCAUUAAUCAAUGAUUGUCAACUAGGACGUCAAUGACUGUGCCGCAAAAUUAUAUAAAUUUUGAAGCACAAUUGAUUUAGAUCAAAAAUUCUUUCAGUGGCUUCAAGAAGGCAACAACCGGCACAUGCUGAUUCCUUUUGGUGCUGAAAUUCGUUAAAUUGAAUUUUCUACAGGAUAUUUUAUAGUGAUGAUAAAUUUUCUUCGAAAAUGAUCAACGGCUUCACCUUAAUUAAAAAAAAUAUUGUAAAGAUAAAAUUGUUUUACAUAUUUUACUUUUUAACAUAAAAAUUAACAAAAAAUGUUAUAAUAAAACAAGCCUUACCCAACAAACUUCGUUCUUCCUUUUUUUCGUUUGUUGACGUUUUGAAGUUUUUAUGCUUAUUCAGCCUCCUGUGAUCAAAAUUUGAUUUUACGUAACUUUUCCCAUACAAUCCACAGAUUUCCGGAAUCGGUUCCAGAGUUGCCAAAAUUGUUACUUUUUGGCGUAAGAACUUUCGUUGGAAUUAUACGAACCCAACGCAACAAAGAGCACCUCGAUCCGACGUUCCGUGUUGAAUUGAUUCGCGUUCGAACAAAACCGUCGAAAUUUUUUAUAUAUAUAGAAGAAGAUAAUAUUGAA